GAGCGGUAUUGUUUCUUCGGAAACGAGAGUAGCGGCGCACGGGUGCGGAACACGUGUGCAACCUGCCUUUAUCUGGGGGAUAGCCUUUCGAAAGGAAGAUUAAUACCCCAUAAUAUUUUGAAUGGCAUCAUUUAAAAUUGAAAACUCCGGUGGAUAGAGAUGGGCACGCGCAAGAUUAGAUAGUUGGUAGGGUAACGGCCUACCAAGUCAGUGAUCUUUAGGGGGCCUGAGAGGGUGAUCCCCCACACUGGUACUGAGACACGGACCAGACUCCUACGGGAGGCAGCAGUGAGGAAUAUUGGACAAUGGGUGAGGGCCUGAUCCAGCCAUCCCGCGUGAAGGACGACGGCCCUAUGGGUUGUAAACUUCUUUUGUACAGGGAUAAACCUUUCCACGUGUGGAAAGCUGAAGGUACUGUACGAAUAAGCACCGGCUAACUCCGUG
rnacentral:rRNA from 1 species